UAAAAUGCAUGCACAUUGCCUUGUUCGGGGGUCCCUUUUCAGCCAUCAAAAUUCCCCCAAGCCUCUCUCUAAGUUUCUGAUUGAUAUUUGAAAUUCAAAUUCAAAAAAACAAAAACAAAAACCAAUAGGAAAAACCAGAAAACCAAAGCAAAUCUAUUGUUUCAUUACUUUAGUUCAAUUUUCCAUUCCUUAACCAAUAAGUUCAGUGUCUAGCUUCCCUAGAGUCCAAACAGGUGGGAAUCCUUUGUUUCGAGUUCAGUGGGGUUAUUAAGUGAAGUAUUUCGAAGCAAUGGGCUGAUUUAGAGUUAGAAUUGGUGUGUUCGAGCUGAAUUUGGGUUCACUUAGGUCGGUUUUGAGUAGAUCUUACACUUUAUUGAUUUCUGCCAAAUUUCCAAGCUAUUUCUAGGCUGAUUGAACUGAAUCUGGGUUGUUGAUUUCUACCUAUUAUUGUUGUUUGAAUUGCUGAGUACCAGUUUGGUCAUCUGUUGCUGAUUUCUUCCUAUUCUAUUUAAAUCCAGGUACACAGCUUGACUUUGAUAGCUAUGAGAUGAAAUGUUAAGUGUGAACUUGUAGUUGAAGUAUAAAAUGUAAUCUGAUUCAGCUUCGGAGUUGUGCAUCUGAAUAUGUAGUCCAUUAA
rnacentral:lncRNA from 1 species